UCCAACGGAAUCAAACAGGAAAUAGGAAAUAACUCGGCCUCGGAUGAAGGCAGCGAGCGCCAGUACCACUCCGGGGAGAAAACAAAAGACCCCAUGGCCAUUUUCAUGAAGAAUGUCUGAGGGAAGGACAAGACACCAUCAAAGACAUUUUAUGGGAGAAAAAAAAAGGAAAACGUUGUUUUCCUCUCUUUUAAAUUCUGUUGUUUAAAGGACAUUGCAAUGGCCAAUGACCUCGAGAGUGGAAUGCAGUGGAAAAAUAAAAGGGUCUGUCACUGCCUGGGAAAAAGAUCAGGUUCCAGGAUUCAAAUACAAUGAGGCAAUCCUACUUUCUUCACACAAUAAUCAAAGGACUAUUUUUUUCGACCACCGCAUUCUAAGUGAAUGAAAAAGGCGAUAGCUUUUCAUGCCAUUGUUGUGAGAAGGUCAGAGUGGGCAUUCCAUUAGGUGUUGUAGUAAGGUCAGAGUGGGCAUUCCAUUAGGUGUUGUAGUAAGGUCAGAGUGGGCAUUCCAUUAGGUGUAGUAUUAAGGUCAGAGUGGGCAUUCCAUUAGGUGUUGUAGUAAGGUCAGAGUGGGCAUUCCAUUAGGUGUAGUAUUAAGGUCAGAGUGGGCAUUCCAUUAGGUGUUGUAUUAAGGUCAGAGUGAGCAUUCCAUUAGGUGUUGUAUUAAGGUCAGAGUGGGCAUUCCAUUAGGUGUUGUAUUAAGGUCAGAGUGGGCAUUCCAUUAGGUGUUGUAUUAAGGUCAGAGUGGGCAUUCCAUUAGGUGUUGUAUUAAGGUCAGAGUGGGCAUUCCAUUAGGUGUUGUAUUAAGGUCAGAGUGGGCAUUCCAUUAGGUGUUGUAUUAAGGUCAGAGUGGGCAUUCCAUUAGGUGUUGUAUUAAGGUCAGAGUGGGCAUUCCAUUAGGUGUUGUAUUAAGGUCAGAGUGGGCAUUCCAUUAGGUGUUGUAUUAAGGUCAGAGUGGGCAUUCCAUUAGGUGUUGUAUUAAGGUCAGAGUGGGCAUUCCAUUAGGUGUUGUAUUAAGGUCAGAGUGGGCAUUCCAUUAGGUGUUGUAUUAAGGUCAGAGUGGGCAUUCCAUUAGGUGUUGUAUUAAGGUCAGAGUGGGCAUUCCAUUAGGUGUUGUAUUAAGGUCAGAGUGGGCAUUCCAUUAGGUGUUGUAUUAAGGUCAGAGUGGGCAUUCCAUUAGGUGUUGUAUUAAGGUCAGAGUGGGCAUUCCAUUAGGUGUUGUAUUAAGGUCAGAGUGGGCAUUCCAUUAGGUGUUGUAUUAAGGUCAGAGUGGGCAUUCCAUUAGGUGGUGUAUUAAGGUCAGAGUGGGCAUUCCAUUAGGUGUUGUAUUAAGGUCAGAGUGGGCAUUCCAUUUGACGUUAGGGUCGUUUGCAGGAUAAUGUCCAGAAGACUUCUUAGCUUGUCAUCAUACAUUUCCUUACAGAGAAGUAUGGAAUUCGUUUUUCACAACAGUGAACAAUUCAAACUAUUUAACACUCAAUGAUAAAUUCUGAUUUAUAUAAUGCCCGCGAAGCAGUUUAUUUUUUAUCCUUUAGUUAACCAUAGAAGUCAUACUGAGAUUUACAAAUAUUUUUCAAGUGAGCAUUGUACUACCUGCCCUGUACUUUUGUACGCCUGAUAUUUGUCAUUUUACUAUCCUGUCUUUGCAACACUAGA